UACGUAGGGUGCAAGCGUUGUCCGGAAUUAUUGGGCGUAAAGAGCUCGUAGGCGGUUUGUCGCGUCGGCUGUGAAAACCUGGGGCUCAACCCCGGCCUGCAGCCGAUACGGGCAAACUAGAAUUCGGUAGGGGAGACUGGAAUUCCUGGUGUAGCGGUGGAAUGCGCAGAUAUCAGGAGGAACACCGAUGGCGAAGGCAGAUCUCUGGGCCGUAACUGACGCUGAGGAGCGAAAGCGUGGGGAGCGAACAGG
rnacentral:rRNA from 1 species